rnacentral:tRNA from 1 species
GCCUCGGUAGUUCAAUGGAUAGAGCGGCUGCCUUCUAAGCAGUAAGUUGCAGGUUCGAAUCCUGUCCGGGGUAC